AUUGAACGCUGGCGGCAUGCGUUACACAUGCAAGUCGAACGGCAGCACGGGAGCAAUCCUGGUGGCGAGUGGCGAACGGGUGAGUAAUACAUCGGAACGUGCCCAAUCGUGGGGGAUAACGCAGCGAAAGUUGUGCUAAUACCGCAUACGAUCUACGGAUGAAAGCGGGGGAUCGCAAGACCUUGCGCGAAGGGAGCGGCCGAUGGAGAUUAGGUAGUUGGUGAGGAAAAGGGUCACCAAGCGGUCGAUCUUAUCUGGUCUGUGAGGACGACAAGCCACACUGUGACUGAGACACGGCCCAGACUCCUACGGGGGGCGGCAGUGGGGGAAUUUUUUGGACAAUGGGGCGAAAGCCUGAUUCCAGCCCAUCCCGCGUGGCGGGAUGAAGGCCUUUCGGGUUGUAAAACUGCUUUUUGUUCGGAACGAAAAGGGCCUUUUUUUAAUUAAAAAGGGGCUAAUUGACGGGAACCUAAGGAAUAAAGCACCGGGUUAAAUACGGGGCCAGCGGCCCGCGGGAAUUACCGUAGGGGGGCAAGCGUUAAUCGGAAUUUUCUGGGGGAAAACGUGGCCCAGGCGGGGUUUUUUAAAAAAUUUUGAAAACCCCCGGGGUCAACCUGGGAACUGCCUCUUUUGAUUCCUUAGCUGGAGUACGGGAAAAGGGGGAUGGAAUUCCCGCGUGUAGAAGUGAAAAUGCGCUGAAUAUGCGGGGGAACAACCGGGGGCGAAGGGAAAUCCCCUGUACCCUGUAUUGACGUUCAUUCACCGAAAACGUUGGGGGAGUAAAAAGG
rnacentral:rRNA from 1 species